AUCGAUGAAGAACGCAGCGAAAUGCGAUAAGUAAUGUGAAUUGCAGAAUUCAGUGAAUCAUCGAAUCUUUGAACGCACAUUGCGCCCCGUGGUAUUCCGCGGGGCAUGCCUGUUCGAGCGUCAUUUCAACCCAUCAAGCUUCGGCUUGGAUUUGAGGCCUGCGUUUUGUCGCAGCCUCUAAACUCAGUGGCGGUGCUAUUGAGCUCUGAGCGUAGUAAAUCUCCUCGCUAUAGGGCCUCGGUAGUUGCUUGCCAACAACCCCAAUUUUUAUCAGGUUGACCUCGGAUCAGGUAGGGAUACCCGCUGAACUUAAGCAUAUCAAUAAGCGGAGGAAAAGAAACCAACAGGGAUUACCUCAGUAACGGCGAGUGAAGCGGUAACAGCUCAAAUUUGAAAUCUGCCGCAAGGCCGAGUUGUAAUUUGUAGAAGAUGCUUUGGGUAUGGCCCCGGUCUAAGUUCGUUGGAACACGACGUCAUAGAGGGUGAGAAUCCCGUAUGUGACUGGGUGCUUUUGCCUAUGUAAAGCUCUUUCGACGAGUCGAGUUGUUUGGGAAUGCAGCUCAAAAUGGGUGGUAUAUUUCAUCUAAAGCUAAAUAUUGGCCAGAGACCGAUAGCGCACAAGUAGAGUGAUCGAAAGAUGAAAAGCACUUUGGAAAGAGAGUUAAACAGUACGUGAAAUUGUUGAAAGGGAAGCGCUUGCAACCAGACUUGCACGCUGUCGAUCAUCCAGGCUUCUGUUUGGUGCACUCGGCUGUGUUCAGGCCAGCAUCGGUUUUGGUGGUGGGAUAAAGGCCUUGGGAAUGUAGCUUCUUUCGGGGAGUGUUAUAGCCCUCGGUGCAAUGCCGCCUACCGGGACCGAGGACCGCGCUUCGGCUAGGAUGCUGGCGUAAUGGUUGUAAGCGACCCGUCUUGAAACACGG
rnacentral:rRNA from 1 species